rnacentral:rRNA from 1 species
GACGAACGCUGGCGGCGUGCUUAACACAUGCAAGUCGAACGGAAAGGCCCUGCAUGCUGGGUACUCGAGUGGCGAACGGGUGAGUAACACGUGGGUGAUCUGUCCUGCACAUAGUGAUAAGCCUGGGCAACUGGGUCUAAUACGGGAUAGGAGCCACUCUUAGGGGGGUGGUUGGAAAGUUUUUUCGGUGUUGGGUGAGCACGUGGCCUAUCAGUUUGUUGGUGGGGUAAUGGCCUAACAAGGCGGCGUCGGGUAGCCGGACUGGGAGGGUGGUCGGCCACAGUGGGACUGAGACACGGCCCAGACUCCGACGGGAGGCAGCAGUGGGGGAGAUUGCACAAUGGGCGCGAGCCUGAUGCUGCGGGGCCGCGUGGGGGAGGACGGCCUUCGGGUUGGAAACGUCUUUCGCUAUGAAAGAAGCUUUUUGUGACGGUACCUAGAUAAGAAGCACCGGCUAACUACGUG